UAUUCCAUAAAAAUCUCCCCCUUAAAAUCUGUUUUUUGGUUUUUUAUAGCCAUUUUACAAUAUUAUUUUUUUUAUUUUUCUACUGUUCUUAUUACUGUUUUUUGCGUGUUGCUUCUUCUUUGCAUGUGGCUCUGGAGUCAACCAACAGUGGCAGAGGAGUUGAUGCUGGCAGAAAGGUGUCAAACAGCACGUGGAGGCGACGACGCAAAGAAGCUAGGGUUUCUGCCCAUUUUUUUCUUUUCUGAAAAUGUUAAUUGUUUUGGGUUGUUUGGGCCAUCAGGAUUUUUAGGGAUGGUAGUUUUUUUUUUUUUUUGUAAUUGGACUGUGGACAUUAGGCUUUGGUUGUUAUUUUGGUUUGGUUUGUAAUUUAUUUGUAAAUUAAGCCCGGGCGAAAUUGGGCCACUACAACUUCAGGGAGAUAGGAUUAAUAGCUUCAAUCUGCUCCACUGCAACUUCAGGGAGAUAAGAUUGGUAUCUUCAACCUGUUCCACUGCAACUUCAGGGAGAUAAGAUUGGUUUAUUUUUAACCUGUUCCACU
rnacentral:lncRNA from 1 species